UUAAGCUAAGAAACGAAUUCUCUCUCUCUCACGUCCGAAACCACCCAAAACAGAGCAAAACUUCUCCAAACUCUCUCUCACUCCACCGGCCACCAAUCAAGACCAGAACACUUCCUAUAGCUUCGCCUCGACCUUGCGCAGCUGCAGGUGGCAGCCUUGAACCACGACACGGCCACCAGCGGCGGCGGGAAGCUCCGCCCGGUUUGAGCUCGUUUUGGUUCCAAGCUUGAUAUCUCAAGCUACCGGCCAACAAUCCUCACCAAACUUCACCCACGAGCUCGCCUCAACGUCCUGAAGCUCCCAGAAGUGGCCUUGCACGGCGGCGCUACUCGUGGUGGCGGCUGGAAGCCAGACCCGAUCAAAUCGAAAACCGAAGCUUCGAUCGGUAUAUCUCGAGCUGUAGUGCAUCGUUUUGAUUGAUUCUUUUUCCAGUGGGUUCCCCUUGAUGUUGUUAACAACUCUCUAGAAGGCAUCGAGGCCUGAAAUUGAAGUUUUUACGUCGAUCGGAGCCCUCGCCGGAUUCUGCAAAAUUCUGCAAAUUUUCCGACCACCGAAGCUUUCGAUCGGUAUAUCUCGAGCUACAGACCAUAUUUUUCUGUGAUUCUUGAACCAAUGCGUUCGUCUUGAGUUUCUUAACAACUCUCUAGAAGGAAUCGAAGCCUGAAAUUGAAGUUUUGACGUCGAAAUCAAGCCUUGCCGGAUUCUGCAAAUUUCGCCGGAUUCUGGAAAUUUUCCGGCCACCUCGACUGUUCUAGGUUAUUGACGGUUUGAGUUGGUGGACGAUUGUGGAUCGUAUUUUGAGCUGAAUUGAAGACGCAGCGGGAUUAUCGAGCGGGAAAUCCUACAGGUCAGGAGAACCAGGACGGUGAUCGGGCUGCUUAGAGUAGUGUUAUGUGAAUUACAGCAUUAUAUUGUGAGGUUUGUUAUGCUCAUUUAGAGCUUUGCAAUUUUACUUUGUAAGAGUGAAUUGUAAUAAUUAACUCGAGGUUUUCGAGUUUUUGUGUUGAGUGGCGAGUGGUGUGUUUGUUUGUGAGAAAAAAAUUCAGAACGUAUUUGUAUUAAUUGUUUAUUCAUGUUUCGGAUUUGAAUUGGUUAUUCAAAAUUCGGGGCGUGACAGUUUGGUAUCAGAGCGUAAGGUACAUAUUUGGUGAUAAUCAGUACCUCCCGAGUGAUGGCCCGUCUGCAGCGGAUCCCCAUCAUAUACUCUUCGGUACUGGUAUAAUCAU